GCGGCCACGUCAUGUUGAAACACCGGUUCCCGUAUGAUCACUGAAGUUAAGCAACAUUUGUUCACUACCUACAUGGGUGACCACUUGGGAAUACCAGGUGCGGCAAG